rnacentral:rRNA from 1 species
UACGUAGGGGGCGAGCGUUGUCCGGAUUUACUGGGCGUAAAGAGCGCGCAGGCGGCUCUGCAAGUCGAUCGUGAAAUCCCCCGGCUCAACCGGGGGGGGUCGGUCGAUACUGUGGGGCUUGAGGGCGGUAGGGGGAGAUGGAAUUCCCGGUGUAGUGGUGAAAUGCGUAGAUAUCGGGAGGAACACCGAUGGCGAAAGCGAUCUCCUGGGCCGAUCCUGACGCUGAGGCGCGAAAGCGUGGGGAGCGAACUGAAUUAGAUACUCAGGUAGUCCACGCCCUAAACGAUGGACACUAGGUGUGGGGGGUAUCGACCCCUCCCGUGCCGCAGCUAACGCAAUAAGUGUCCCGCCUGGGGAGUACGGCCGCAAGGCUA